rnacentral:rRNA from 1 species
GGCUUAGAGUUUGAUCAUGGCUCAGGACAAACGCUGGCGGCGCACAUAAGACAUGCAAGUCGAACGGACUUAACUCAUUCUUUUAGAUUGAGAGCGGUUAGUGGCGGACUGGUGAGUAACACGUAAGCAACCUGCCUAUUAGAGGGGAAUAACAGUGAGAAAUCAUUGCUAAUACCGCAUAUGCUAACAGUAUCGCAUGAUACAGUUAGGAAAGGAGCAAUCCGCUAAUAGAUGGGCUUGCGUCUGAUUAGCUAGUUGGUGGGGUAACGGCCUACCAAGGCGACGAUCAGUAGCCGGACUGAGAGGUUGAACGGCCACAUUGGGACUGAGAUACGGCCCAGACUCCUACGGGAGGCAGCAGUCGGGAAUAUUGCGCAAUGGAGGAAACUCUGACGCAGUGACGCCGCGUAUAGGAAGAAGGUUUUCGGAUUGUAAACUAUUGUCGUUAGGGAAGAUACAAGACAGUACCUAAGGAGGAAGCCCCGGCUAACUAUGUGCCAGCAGCCGCGGUAAUACAUAGGGGGCAAGCGUUAUCCGGAUUUAUUGGGUGUAAAGGGUGCGUAGAUGGAGGAGCAAGUUGGUUGUGAAAUCCCUCGGCUCAACUGAGGAACUGCAACCAAAACUACUUCCCUUGAGUGUCGGAGAGGAAAGU